AUCCGGCUGACGAGUCCCAAAUAGGACGAAAAGCGCAUCCUGGAU
rnacentral:hammerhead_ribozyme from 1 species